UACGUAGGGGGCAAGCGUUGUCCGGAUUUAUUGGGCGUAAAGAGCGUGUAGGCGGCCAUUCAGGUCAGCUGUGAAAACUCGAGGCUCAACCUCGAGACGUCGGUUGAAACCGUUUGGCUAGAGUCCGGAAGAGGAGAGUGGAAUUCCCGGUGUAGCGGUGAAAUGCGCAGAUAUCGGGAAGAACACCCGUGGCGAAGGCGGCUCUGGGACGGUACUGACGCUGAGACGCGAAAGCGUGGGGAGCGAACAGG
rnacentral:rRNA from 1 species